rnacentral:rRNA from 1 species
UACGUAGGGUCCAAGCGUUGUCCGGAAUUAUUGGGCGUAAAGAGCUCGUAGGCGGCUCGGUAAGUCAGGUGUGAAAACUCUAGGCUCAACCUAGAGACGCCACCUGAUACUGCUGUGGCUAGAGUCCGGUAGGGGAGCAUGGAAUUCCUGGUGUAGCGGUGAAAUGCGCAGAUAUCAGGAGGAACACCAGUGGCGAAGGCGGUGCUCUGGGCCGGAACUGACGCUGAGGAGCGAAAGCGUGGGGAGCAAACAGG